CAGUAGCUUAAGAAUUUUGUUCCAGAAGCUGAAGUAUUCACCCACCUUCCCCCAGGCUGUGACAUUCGUGUCUGGCAGGCUCCUGAUACUGCCCCCACCAAUGGCCUGUCAUCAGUCGGUUCCCACCCUAUACCUCAACUUAGCAGAAUUCGAGGAAGCCAAAUGACAAGUCUCUUCUUGGACUCAGGAUGACCUGACAUGCUGUGGGCUUCUGCAAGUCCAGUCCACUCACUCAACUCCGCCCUGAAUGACCCAAAGGUGACAAUUGCCGAACCUGCUUCUCUUCCUCCCUCUCGUUAAGCAAGUCAGCCUGGGAGGCCUCACAUAAAUGGAAGCUUCUACUAGCUGCCUCUCUGAACAGUUUCACAUGGAAACCAACAGCCAAGCUGUGAGAAAACUCAAGCAACCUGACAAGGAGACCA